ACAUAAGUAACGAUAAAGCGGGUGAAAAGCCCGCUCGCCGGAAGACCAAGGGUUCCUGUCCAACGUUAAUCGGGGCAGGGUGAGUCGACCCCUAAGGCGAGGCCGAAAGGCGUAGUCGAUGGGAAACAGGUUAAUAUUCCUGUACUUGGUGUUACUGCGAAGGGGGGACGGAGAAGGCUAUGUUGGCCGGGCGACGGUUGUCCCGGUUUAAGCGUGUAGGCUGGUUUUCCAGGCAAAUCCGGAAAAUCAAGGCUGAGGCGUGAUGACGAGGCACUACGGUGCUGAAGCAACAAAUGCCCUGCUUCCAGGAAAAGCCUCUAAGCAUCAGGUAACAUCAAAUCGUACCCCAAACCGACACAGGUGGUCAGGUAGAGAAUACCAAGGCGCUUGAGAGAACUCGGGUGAAGGAACUAGGCAAAAUGGUGCCGUAACUUCGGGAGAAGGCACGCUGAUAUGUAGGUGAAGUCCCUCGCGGAUGGAGCUGAAAUCAGUCGAAGAUACCAGCUGGCUGCAACUGUUUAUUAAAAACACAGCACUGUGCAAACACGAAAGUGGACGUAUACGGUGUGACGCCUGCCCGGUGCCGGAAGGUUAAUUGAUGGGGUUAGCGCAAGCGAAGCUCUUGAUCGAAGCCCCGGUAAACGGCGGCCGUAACUAUAACGGUCCUAAGGUAGCGAAAUUCCUUGUCGGGUAAGUUCCGACCUGCACGAAUGGCGUAAUGAUGGCCAGGCUGUCUCCACCCGAGACUCAGUGAAAUUGAACUCGCUGUGAAGAUGCAGUGUACCCGCGGCAAGACGGAAAGACCCCGUGAACCUUUACUAUAGCUUGACACUGAACAUUGAGCCUUGAUGUGUAGGAUAGGUGGGAGGCUUUGAAGUGUGGACGCCAGUCUGCAUGGAGCCGACCUUGAAAUACCACCCUUUAAUGUUUGAUGUUCUAACGUGGACCCGUAAUCCGGGUUGCGGACAGUGUCUGGUGGGUAGUUUGACUGGGGCGGUCUCCUCCUAAAGAGUAACGGAGGAGCACGAAGGUUGGCUAAUCCUGGUCGGACAUCAGGAGGUUAGUGCAAUGGCAUAAGCCAGCUUGACUGCGAGCGUGACGGCGCGAGCAGGUGCGAAAGCAGGUCAUAGUGAUCCGGUGGUUCUGAAUGGAAGGGCCAUCGCUCAACGGAUAAAAGGUACUCCGGGGAUAACAGGCUGAUACCGCCCAAGAGUUCAUAUCGACGGCGGUGUUUGGCACCUCGAUGUCGGCUCAUCACAUCCUGGGGCUGAAGUAGGUCCCAAGGGUAUGGCUGUUCGCCAUUUAAAGUGGUACGCGAGCUGGGUUUAGAACGUCGUGAGACAGUUCGGUCCCUAUCUGCCGUGGGCGCUGGAGAACUGAGGGGGGCUGCUCCUAGUACGAGAGGACCGGAGUGGACGCAUCACUGGUGUUCGGGUUGUCAUGCCAAUGGCACUGCCCGGUAGCUAAAUGCGGAAGAGAUAAGUGCUGAAAGCAUCUAAGCACGAAACUUGCCCCGAGAUGAGUUCUCCCUGACUCCUUGAGAGUCCUGAAGGAACGUUGAAGACGACGACGUUGAUAGGCCGGGUGUGUAAGCGCAGCGAUGCGUUGAGCUAACCGGUACUAAUGAACCGUGAGGCUUAACCU
rnacentral:rRNA from 1 species